CUUGAAGCUGAAAAGAGGAGGAGGAAGGGCAGAUUAAAAAUAAAACAUGCACUGUUCCUUGUGGUGGCAGCAACUUAGGGCAGGUGGGCCCUUCGAACUUGGGAUGCUCUGCAUGGUCCAGCAGCCACAUUGGGUGGAGCUGUGUGCAGCCAUGGGAACGCACAGAACACCUCAUCUCCUGCUGCCACUGCUUCAGGUUGCUGGCCACAUUUAUGAGGGGGAGUUUCUCAGCUCUGUUCUUCCAUUCAGCCACCCCUCCUCUGUCUGCCCCACAUGUGAUGCAGCCCAGCUCCAGCUGAAUGGCUGGAGGGGAUGGUGAUGCCACUUGUUACUGUGAAGUGACGUCAGCUCAGGUAGGUUUCCAGUCUCAGACAGGAAAGACCAAGAUCACUGCACCAAGCAGAUGAGAAGAAAAAGAUUAAUAACAUCGCUCUCCAGGAAAAACUUCAUCUUCCUGUCCUCAUCUUGCCCUAUGGAGCAUGUUAUCAACUCAAGUAACUCCCAAUAGGAGAGAAAGCAAGUUCACACCCAGCUCUCUGCAGCCCCAGGCUGGAAGAUAGCUCUGCUCAUAGAAUCACUGAAAAGGCAGCAGAAAUAAAUUUCCCUCCCUGAGCUUUUCA
rnacentral:lncRNA from 1 species